AGAUAUCUUGUAAAUAAUCUCUUGUAAGUUAAUAUAAAUAUAAAUUAAUAAAUUUAAAAUAAGUUAAAAAAGAUUUAAAAAAUUAAAAAAAUAAUUAAAAAUAUAUUAAAAAAAAAAGCAAAAAAAAAAAAGGAAUUAGGAGUAGGCGCCACUCCUAGUGGCGACUUGCCCUACAAUUAAGGGUAGGCGCCAUCUAGGGUGGCGCCCAUGCACAUA
rnacentral:lncRNA from 1 species